GACGAACGCUGGCGGCGUGCUUAACACAUGCAAGUCGAACGAAAAGAGGGAAAGAGCUUGCUCUUUCCGGAAUUGAGUGGCAAACGGGUGAGUAACACGUAAACAACCUGCCUUCAGGAUGGGGACAACAGACGGAAACGACUGCUAAUACCGAAUAAGUUCCAAGAGCCGCAUGGCCCAUGGAAGAAAAGGUGGCCUCUACCUGUAAGCUAUCGCCUGAAGAGGGGUUUGCGUCUGAUUAGCCGGUUGGAGGGGUAACGGCCCACCAAGGCGACGAUCAGUAGCCGGUCUGAGAGGAUGAACGGCCACACUGGAACUGAGACACGGUCCAGACUCCUACGGGAGGCAGCAGUGGGGAAUCUUCCGCAAUGGGCGAAAGCCUGACGGAGCAACGCCGCGUGAGUGAUGACGGCCUUCGGGUUGUAAAACUCUGUGAUCCGGGACGAAAAGGCAGAGUGCGAAGAACAAACUGCAUUGACGGUACCGGAAAAGCAAGCCACGGCUAACUACGUG
rnacentral:rRNA from 1 species